GGCUUUGCAGAGUGGGAAGGAGUUUGCCAGUGGAUGAACAGUGUGGUGGGCACAGGCCACGAAGUGUGUGAUGGCCGGGGGCUGGGAGCAGAGCCUGGUGUGCUGGAGCUGGUGACAGGGACAAUGAUGGGGAGGCAGUGUCCAGGCAGAAGAGGCCUCAGCAGUCUAUGCUGGGGAGGGUAGGCGGGCUGGGCCCUGCUGGGGCUGAGAGACGUGGCUGCUGCUCCUGAGUGGCCCCUGGUACAGGGGCCUCUGGCAAGUUCUGCCACUGGGGAGAGAGACCGAGGGGGCGUGGGUCACUUGAGAUGGGUUGGCGGAGAAAGCACCCCCAUGUGCUCCUGCGAUAAGAUGCCGCCCCCUGGAAUCUACGAGAGCAGUUAACUAACAAAUAUGUGAGUCAGAGAGAAAUGGGGAGGAGAUAGCUUUUUUUUCUUUUUUUUUUGCAGUACAAGGGAUUAAACAGAGGACUUUUGCACUGAGCUACAUCCCCAGCCCUUUUAUAUUUUUUUUAGUAUAUGUGCUGCCGAAGCGAGCACACCUUUUAUAUUUUUUAUUUUGAGACAGGGUCUCACUAAGUUGCUAAAUUGCCCAGGAUCGUCUCAAACCCAUGGAGAUCCCUCUGCCUCAGCUGGGGUUAAAGGCGUGUGUCAGCAUACCCAGCGACAGGUAGUGGCUUUUCGUUGAUGGCCAAUGAAUGGGUGGUUCUGAGUCCUCAAAGUGUCUUCAAAGACACUGAACCCCAGCAGGCCCAGAAGGGGGCCCCCCUACCCAAGCCUGGCGGUUUCCAUGGCAUCCAGGGCUCUGCGGGGGGCUGACGGCCAAGGGAGGGGCUUCCUGAGGUCCUGGGCUCCGGGAAGCCUGGUCAGAGGGGAGCAGUGGGAAGUACUGGGUCGAGUUCCUGCCGUCCCCCAGACGGCGGAGCCGAGCGGAGAGAAACACCGGCCUGGUGCACACCUGCGGCAAGGUGGGGCUUCGGGACCCGGAGCGGAGAGACGCUGGAUUCUGCAUCACCAUGCCCGACUCCUAGCAGCCCUGGGCUCAGCCCUGAGCCUCGACUUCCUUCUCUGUCUGCUGAGGGAUGUGUGCACUGACCCCCCAAUCAACUGUAAGGAGGGCGGGGGUGGAAAAGCUGAGGACCCAGCCUGAAGUGCACAUCCACUGGCAACCCCAUCUGCGAGCCUCCACCUCCUCCUGAAUGAGGACCUGAGCUCCCCCUUGCAGUGGAGGCUGACUCAGGAUGCACUUCAGAGGAGGGAGGUGCAGUGUCCCCAGCCUGGCAGGUGGGGGCUUGGACUCCUCAGAGCCACCGCACAACCCGAGCCUGCACCCUGGGAAUCCCGCAGGGCACAGCCAAAGCCCCCUGAACCCUGAGCCACGCUGCCACCUUCUGGGCCCAGGGCCUGGGCUGGAUGUUGAGCAGUGGCCCCAUCAGAGGCCCAGGCGUCUCCCUGGUCUGAGCAUGCGGAAGUCCUGCAGCUGUCACACCCACAUCUCCUGGGCGCAGAAAACCUAAAAGCUAGAUGAGCGGCUUAUGUGAAAGUCAUUCCUCCCCACCACGAGGGACGUUUUGGUACUCUGUGCACAGCUAUAAUCCCAGCACUCUGGGAGGCUGAGGCAGGAGGAUCAGAAGUUUGAUCCCAGCCUGGGCAACUUAGCAAGUGAAUGAGGAGACCCUGCCUUAAAAUAAAAAAUAAAAAAGGGCUGGGGAUGGAGCUCAGUGAAAGGUCCUGGGUUCAAUCCCCGGUACUGGAAUAAAGGAAAAAAGAAAAGAGAGCAAGAUGGGUUUGGGUUGUGGGCAGGACCAGCUGAGCAAACCUGGUAGAAAGGGUGUUUGUGACCACACCAUCUCAUCGGCAUCAGCUUGGACAGAACGUGCUGAGGAGAAGAACAAAGCAAGCAUCAGCCCCGAGUGACCCAAAGGUGAUAACCGGCAGCAGCAGUUGUAGGAGGGCAGGGCGGUGAGGCCAGGGUGGAGGAGGAUUUCUGUCUUCCCCAGCAAGGCUCGGGAGAGGAGCUGAGCGUGCAGGUGGCCUGGCGGGUGGUGUUUCUCCUGCUGUGGGCAGGACGGGGCCAGCUGACUGGGCAUCUCCGAACGACAGCUCUCUCCCCCCAGCCCCUGUCUCUGAUCGGCUGGCUGGGCCCGGCAGGGAGGCCAGUGGCUUGGUCGCUUCCGUGGGGCUCCCGGUGGGAAGUCCUGGCUGCGCUCCCCUCCCCCGCCUUGGCCGCGUGGUCCAGGAGAGGCACAGCCGGAAGUGUGGAGGAGGGGUGCGGGCUGGGGGUGUCGGCCAUCUGUGCUGGGCAGAAACCGCAGGUGGGGCCACCUGGAGGGGGCUCACUGGCCUGGCAAACCCCAGCUUUAGCCCGGCCUCAGUUUACCACUGGCCUGCUGGCGCGAGGCUGAGAUGAGGUCACAGGAAAGGGUUCCCGUGGAUCGGGUGGGUGCUCUCCCUCUCCAGGGGAUCAGGCCCCAGGGCUCCUUAGAGCCCUUGUAAGGAAGCCCUGGCAGGGAGGUGUGGCCAGCAGAAACUGUCCCUGUUUGCAUCCCUGUGGGUGGGGCAGGUGUGGAGGGCCCUAGUGGGGCCGCCUCCCUGGUUCUGUGAUCACACAUUCCCUGUGUACCUAUGUGAGGCUGCAGUUAAGUAGGACACUGCUGUGUCCUCCGGGAGCCCCCCGCCCAGCUGGGGAAACACAGGUGUGUCACCUUCCCCUGCCUGUAACAGAUUGUCCGGCCAGCCCGCAUGGUCACCCAGCCCAAUGACCCCCACAUGCCUGGUGCUCACAGAGGAAGCUCGUCAACCCUGAUUGGCCACAGUCAGUGAUUCUCCCUCGGGAAGCUGAGGGGGCCACUUGUCUGUGUGGGUUGGAACUGGACACUCGGAAGCUGUAUGUGGUGGCACAGGGCUGAUAUCCCAGUACUCUGGGAGGCUGAGGCAGGAGGAUGGCAGGUUUGAGUACAGCCUGGGCAAUGUAGCGACUUAGCAAGAUCCUCUCUCCAAAAAAAAUAAAAAGGAAAUGGACACACAGCCACCGCAGGACUCGGUAGUGGGGAGCUCAGGGGUGCCAGAGAGCCCUGGCCCGGAGUCACUGACCUCCAGGCCCUCACCCUGCUCCCGGUGGGAAGUCCUGGCUGCGCUCCCCUCGCAGGGAACCUGACCCUGGAUCCCUGCCGGCCUCUCCCCCUCGCACCUGCUUCCCAAGCUGCCUUGGGAGGUGGUGUGGACCCCUCAGCCUGCCCCCGAUGCCCUUGCUCAUCAUCUCCGUCCCUCCGUGCCCAGGUCAGGGCUCGGGACUCCUGAGGCAGACACCUGCGAUCCUUUCACCCGGCCCCUCCCCACCGGCCCAGUCUCAGUCAAACUGGAUUCCUGGCUCCACAGAAAGAGCUGGACCCACCCCCACCCCACACAACUCCCUGGGGUGUUACUUGGUGCCCACUGCUCCAUAACCCGAGAGUGUAGCGCCCCCCGGGAGUCGUGCUCGGCACACAGCACCCCUUCACUGUCCAGCCCCCCCCCAAGCCAUCCCAACCUGAGUUCUUCCCUUUGAAGUCGCAGCAGUUGCACCUGGCCGGGCUCUAGGGGAAGGCUCUGUCCCCGCAGCAUAAGCACCAUUUAUUUACUGGGUGGAUGAUACCCCCGGGUCUGGCCCCUGCUUGCUCUCCCUACCCAGUUCUGGCCAAGCAGGUUCUGGUUCUGUCCCUUCUGCCCUGGCCCCAAAGGGCAUCACCUCCAAGCCCGUCAGCCCUGGCUGAGCCCCGGCCACUGCGUGAGGGACAUGGGAGGUCCCCUGGUCCUCAUCCCACAACAACUCCUCCACUGAUCCCGUGGGAAAGUUGCUGGCAAGGCCAGAUGCACAGAUGAUGAUAAAAAAAAAAAAAAAUAAUAGUAAUAAUAAUAAUAAUAAUAAUAAUAGCAGCAGCACUGGUGCCAUGUGAGGAAAGUGAUAAGGACCGGGUGUCAUCAAGGUGGAAUUUCUCUUUGACACUCCCAGGACUUCAUCAUCAGAUUCUCCCCCGAGGGUCUCCGCCCCCUCUCCUCCCACCCAAGCCUGGUGUGAGGCCUUCUGGUCUUCAGGUCCUGCUUCACCUCAGCUGGGCCCGGCUGCCACCCCUGCUUAUCUGCCCCCAGAACGUCAGGUGCCCCGGCCAUGCGCGACUCAGUGUCUGUCUCCUGGCUGAGCUCAGCUUGGGCACGGGGACGGGGAGAGGGCAGUUUCUUCUGAGACUGGUGGUGACUCAGGGGCCUGGGGCCUUUGUGCCUUUCUUUGUUGGCCAUGGCUCAGGAAUCCAGAGAAACUGGUCAGGGGCGGCCCCUGGGAUCCGUCCCUCCUCUGUCCCGCCCCUCCUCCAGAGGCGUAUAACUGCACCUGUGUCCUCAUUGCUGGCGGCAGCU
rnacentral:lncRNA from 1 species